GAUGAACGCUAGCGGCAGGCUUAAUACAUGCAAGUUGAGGGGCAGCAUGAUAUACGUAAGUAUAUUGAUGGCGACCGGCGGACGGGUGAGUAAAAGGUAGGAGACCUACCUCAUACAGGGGGAUAGCAUAGAGAAAUCUGUGGUAAUACCCCAUGAGGUUAUAUGAAUAGAGGCAUAUAAUCAAAGUAUACGAGAGUAUGCGGUAUGAGAGGGGCCUACUGACCAUUAGCUAGUUGGUGAGGUAAGGGCUCACCAAGGCGAAGAUGGUUAGGGGUUUUGAGAGAGAGACCCCCCACAUUGGAACUGAGAGACGGUCCAGACUCCUACGGGAGGCAGCAGUAGGGAAUAUUGGGCAAUGGGCGAAAGCCUGACCCAGCCAUGCCGCGUGAAGGAAGACGGCCUUAUGGGUUGUAAACUUCUUUACUACGCGAAUAGAGGUUAGUACGAGAUACUAAUAGGAAGGUAGUGUAGUAAAAAGCACCGGCUAACUCCGUG
rnacentral:rRNA from 1 species